GGGAACUACGACAGGCUUUUUUUAGGCCAGCGAACCCAACGAGGCAGACCAUACAGAGCUCCGCCUCACACCCAGACGAUGAGCAUGGGGAAACAGACCCAAUCCUUCCAGCGGCCACAGGCAGCAAGGAGGAAAUAGCUACACCAUUACCCAAAGAGGUUAUGCGGCAACACUUUGAGAAUCGGGGACUAAGCAGAA